GACUCAUCCGUCGGAAAAUCAUGCCUUCUUCUCCGAUUUGCUGAUGAUUCUUAUGUGGAUAGUUACAUAAGCACAAUUGGAGUUGACUUUAAAAUUAAGACUGUGGAGCAGGAUAGGAAGACCAUCAAGCUGCAGAUAGUGAGUACA